CCUCCUAUUAUCCAUACACCUUGUGCUGCACCGACAGUCGUUCAAAGCAAAGCAACUACGUCGCAUCGAAUCUCACCCGAAAAUGACCUUCCAAUCAAAAUUUGUGCAAGAUUUAUGCACAACCGAUACGGAAGCGCACGAGCAGCUGAUACAGCUCGCACAGAGCGAGCAAAUCUUCCUGCAGAAUGUGCACAAUCUGCACAAACCAUCGCUCGAAGCCCUGGUGUACGCGCUGCUGAUGAAGCAGCGGGGAAAACUACCCGCCUCGCUGCUGCAUGGCGUUAACCUGCAAACUAUCCUGUCGCUCGUGGACGGCAACCACGACCGCCUGCAAGGGGAUAGCGAUUCACUCCGCUGGACUUUGAGCGCCCUAGCGCUGACGGCACUGCUCGAGUCCGAUCUGCAGAUCGUGAUCCGGGAGCUGACAACGUUUGUGGAUCGGUUCGAGCGGGAGCUGCACGCAACGCCGGUCUACUAUGAUGUGUUGCAAACGUUUCUCAUCCUAGCACAAGAGCUUCCCGAGCUGGUUGCCAUCUGCAACCGAGCUAACGGUGCGGACAUGGUGCGCCGGUUGCAGUCGGACUCGAGGGUGAUGCGCACGAAAGCGUUGGCAUGUCUGCAAACGAUGAUGGAACUGAAUCCCGAUCUGGUCGAACAGUGGCUGUCCGAGACGCGCAGUCCGGCGCACCCGAUUGAACGGAAAGUGUUUCUGCUGCGUGAGCUGCUAGAAGCGUUGUUGCGGUGUACGGGCGACAGGAAAGCGGACAUACUGAGCGCAUUGCAGCUAGAUCACCUGUGGUUGGUCGUGUUCGAGGCGUUGGUCAGCAGGGACGCCGUGUGCCGAAUGGAAGCCGUAGCCAUUCUCCGACACGCCAUCGGUUACGCGAUGCACUGCGAAAUGAGUUUUACCGGACAGUACUUUGCCUGGUGGCCAGAGUGGGAGAAAUGCUGCGAUGCGUGGCAAUCGAUUGUUGCCGUACUGGAGAGGCUGGACGAAUUCAAACUAGCAGUGCCGAUGGAACAGAUCGAAAAGCUGUUGGUCCUGCUGCCCUGGGAGUGGAAAACUGUUCUGUUCCGUUUGCUCCUGGACCACACCAACGGCCAGGUGGUAAUGCAUGUUCACGACUAUUUUUUGAAGUAUCGCAAGUUCAACGCCACGGAGGCGGAGAUGGAAAAGCGACUGUUGGACGGCUUAAACCGAGCGCUACGGGCGGACGGUGGUAGUGUGCCGAAAGUUGUGAUUGACAAGCUGAGCAAGUACUACGGCACACAGGAAGCUUACGAUUAUCUAUUGCAAACAAUACCGGAACUCUCAUGGAACCCGGUCGCGUUCCAUUGCAUCGUCAGCGUAGUGCACCAAAGGACGUUCAAGCUGGCAGCGGAAUGCAAACGCAGGCAGGAAACGGCUGCAACGAUACGAUCGCUUACGAGCUGCGCUAAAGUAUGCCAUGAUAUUAAAAACUUGCCCCUGCGCUUCGCGGCCUUUGUGCUGCUGGUGCAUUGUGUCAAUCAGCUUGCCGAACCGACGACCGAUGCGGCCGUUCUGCUGGCCGUAGUCGCGGAAAUGCAGAAGCUUACCCCAAUGUUCGCCAUCACCCAGGAACACUUUCGCAGUCCGGAUGGCAGCUUGUUCCUGGACCGCCUAACGAAUGAUGCCCUGGAGCCGCACUGGGGAAGGGUCAGCCCUGCGGACACUUUUCUCAUCGAGCAGGUGCUGGUACAAAGAGCUAAAAACAGCCUAUACGCUUGCCUUGAGUUGAGUAGCCAUAUGCUGGAAUCGAAUAUUUCCGUUUGUUGCAAGCUGUUGGGACAUAUGCCCGAAUUAGUUAACAGCGUAUUUGAUAGCAUUUGCAAAAACUUUCAAUCUGCGGUGGACAGCAUCAGACAGGCGCAGGAAGCAGGCGAACGUAUACCGCAGCAAGCAUUCGCUGUGCGUGAGCAGCUGAUCGCUCUGCAGGAAGCAGUUGACAAGAGGAAAUUUGAUUAUCGGCCAAAUUUGAGCGGUAUGAUGAGGCUGAUGAAGGAAUUGCAAGCAUUCGUAGAUGAACGGUUGCAAAGCUUCGACUACGCAGACCAUGCAAGGGCGAUAGAAACGAUACAGCUAACACAUCUGAUCGCAUGGCACGAGGACUGUUGUGAAGUGGCUUCUCUUUUCUUCCAGUCCGUAUCCGUUCAAGAGCUCAAAAACAGUCUCGAUCGUCGCGGUGUGGGGGAAGCGCCAACGACCGAUCAAGUGUAUGCAAUGGUUGUGGAAAUUCACCUCAACUAUCGCCAGCAUGAGCAGAAUUUCAUUGAGAUAUACGAAACGGAAGAGCAUUGGUCGGGACUGCACAUCUUGUUUGAGAUCGAUAACGUCGACGUGUUAACGCUGGCGGUUGAGCUGCUUUACGCGGACUGCAUGAAAAUGGGAGAAGAAUGUUACGAAAACUCCAACCGAGUGAAUAUGAUCGAUCGCUGCUAUGAGAAAAUUUUAACCCACCACCAAUCGGAGGACCACUUCCUGACACUGAUGUCAAAAUUUGUGAAAAUGCUGCUCGAUCCAUUCUGUGCGGAGAACAUCGAAUAUGACGAUGUGUAUAUUCCUGACUUUGUUCUAAACUACGUGUCCAUGUUUUUCGAGCAGGGCACCAGCACCACCAACGAACUGCCGCUUAUUGUGCUGGAAUGCCUGGACGGCUUUCCGGACGAUUUUUUCCACUAUUGUGAUUGGAUAAUUAUCAAAAUUUUAGCACAGGGCAUGAUCUUUGGUAAGGGACCAAUGCGUGAUGCUAGCAGCCAAGUAGUGGAUGUGAUAAAACGGUUUGGUUUGGACGUACCGUUGAAAAAACGCUACCAAGCGGAUGGGCGUAUGGUUCGCGUGAUGUGCAGUUUGUUUCUCCAUCGAUUCAUCCAUUUCGAAGACGGUGCUUUUAACAGACUGGUGCCCAAGGUGGAAGAAUAUCUAAUGCAAUGUUUCUCGGAAUCUAAAAUGGUUUUGCAUCACGUACAUCGCUUCGAAAUCUCCCCUCAGCAGAAGCUUUGGGCGGUGCAAGCGCUGUGCAUAGCGGUGUCCAUCGCGGGCUGCAGCAAACCGGACGUCCUGCUGAAGGCACUGCUGUACGAAGCGAACCCGACCUGCAUACAGCGUCUGCUCGAGCUGAUCGUGGUGGACAGCGAGAUUAGCACGCUGGCCAUCGCCAACUCGCUCAAGGACGGGAAGGUGACGCCGGCCGGCAUAGAGUCGAUCUGCGGCAUCCUCUGGCUGCGCUGCUGUCGCGAUAAGACGCUCAAUAAUCAGUCUAUCUAUUUGUUAAUGCCCUGGACGAUGGCCGAAAGCUUCACCAUUGGCUUGUGGGCACAGAUCACUAUAAGCAAGCUGCUGGCACGGUUUGCACGUGCGGAUAAGCCGCAGUUCAAGCAAAUGUACACCAUGUUCAAACAAUCCCAUCAGCAGACUAACAUUAAGCCGCACGUUACACGGAUACUGCGGGACGUUCGAUUCCAACUUGACAGCAACUGUUUGCUAACGUUCGAGAACGUGUUUCACAACAUACCGAAGGCGGCCGGUGUACCGGCCGAGGACGUCGCAGGGACGGCGCUGCUGAAGGCAUGCGUUCAGCUGCUUGAUGGACUCGGCGAAAAAUUCCUCGGCAAAGCAAUGCGGGUGCAGAAACUGCCGCGGGAAGUGGUGGAAACCAACCGUGUGCCUUACCAACCGACAGACUGGACGGGCUACUUCGUCCCGCCAGAGCAUGCGAUCGUGCCGCUGAAGCGGUUGGAUCCGCGUCAAGAUCUGAUGCUUGAGCUGCCGUAUCGGUUGUACAAUUCGCAGCAAAAGAGGGAAGCUUCCAAAGGAUUGUACGUGGUAGCCAGUAACGUUACCGAUGUGCCCGAUCUGGCGGACCUUGCCAGAAUGGGCAAAUGCUUUGGAAUCAAGCAGCUGUUGAUCAACUCGCUGCAAGAUCUUGACAGCAAGCAGUUCAAGAUGCGUAGCGCGUCCGCCGAACAGUGGCAAACGGUGCGUGAACUGAAGGCCCACAAUGUGUACUCAUAUCUGUGGGACUUGCAGGACAAAGGUUACACGGUAGUGAACGUCAAACACACGGAAACCCCCCAGAGCACACCGCUCCAUCAGCUACAGUUGCCCAAAAAGUGUGUGCUUGUACUAAACCUGCUGGAGAGAUUUCCACACGCGGUCCUGAAUGUGUACAUACCGCCGAUUGGGGCUAAACGGUUGCUAACCGUUCCCGAAACGGCAGCCUUGUUGAUGUGGGAGUACGCGAAACAACACCACGCUGCCGCUAUGUAGGGUUGAUCCAUAGCAUCGGGGUAGUAUCCGGGCGCAGUUGGAAGUUGGAAAGGGAAAAAAACCAGGAGCUUUCAAUUAGUGGCGCUUUGAAUGCUGCGAAACAUAUUUUCAAUUGAAAUCGAGAUAUCGUUCCCCCUGUCCCUGUCCGGACAAGCCUCCGAAACGACAAGAGAGCGAGAAUGCAAAUGAGGCAUCCGCAGCAGCCGCCGUUAUCUCCGGUUGCGCUGCGUUCCAGUCUAAAACAUUGUUGUUCCCAUGCGA